rnacentral:sRNA from 1 species
CAUGCAUAUUCAGCCCUGUGCAAUCUGGCCUCUGCCACUUUCACCAAGCCCUUUCCUGUUUUACCUUACCUCUCUUCAUCUGGCCAGUACUUCUCAUCCCUCAAUUCUCUGCACAGGUAUCUCCCAGAGAGGUUGCCCCUGUCAUCCCCCAGCCAUGGUGGCUUCUGUCAUUGUGCUGAUUUUGUUUGUUUUCUUGUUGGUUUAUCCAGUGACCCCCGUGGAAUGUCAGCUGCAUAAAAAAGGGACCACAUUUGUUUUGUUCACUGAUAUGUCCCACCUCUGCUACAGUGUUGGGUGCAGAUGCAUUGAAGUCUUAUUUGAUUCAUAUUGAUACUUGUGCUUUUUUUUUCCCCCUUCUAGGACACGAGAGACUUCCUAAACAGGUAAAAGAGUCUCCUCUCCAUGGUGUACCUCAUCCCCCUUGUUUAUGUUUCCUCCCCUUCUGACCAGGUGCAUUUGAAUUCAUGGGGAGUGGUAUGGUGCCAGAGGUACUCACAUCCCAUGGUUCAUCCUGAUGCCCUUCUGAGGAGCAGGACAUAUCCUUGAGAACUGGAGACUUGCUCUCCUCCUUAUGAGUUCUCUGUGUAGCCCCAGCGACUUGGCCCACUGGCCUUAUUUGAGGUGGGACAGAGCAGAGAGGUUAGAAACAUGGCUUAGUAGACAGAGUGCCCUGGAUGUGGAGUCUACUGAUGGUAGACUCAGCUGGCUCAGCUGGUGUCUUUGGGCCACUGUUUUUCUGUCACUUGUUUGGGGAUAAUCGUACCUUUCCUGUCCCCUUCAUAAUUGCCAUGAGGAUUGAGAAAUAAGUAUGAAGGAAAGUAAGAAGAGCUGAGUAACAGGUUGUUACGUCUGUCAUCUUCUCAGGUAUCCACGGAAGAAGUUCUGGGUUGGGAAACCCAUCGCUCGAGUGGUUAAAAAAAAGACCGGAGAAUUCUCAGAUAAACUCCUCUCUCUGCAGCGAGGCCUGAGGGAAUUCCAGGGGAAGCUGCUGAGAGACUUGGAAUAUAAGACAGUGAGUGUCACCCUGGACCCACAGUCGGCCAGUGGGUACCUGCAGCUGUCAGAGGACUGGAAGUGCGUGACCUACACCAGCCUGUACAAGAGUGCCUACCUGCACCCCCAGCAGUUUGACUGUGAGCCUGGGGUGCUGGGCAGCAAGGGCUUCACCUGGGGCAAGGUCUACUGGGAAGUGGAAGUGGAGAGGGAGGGCUGGUCUGAGGAUGAAGAAGAGGGGGAUGAGGAGGAAGAGGGAGAAGAGGAGGAGGAGGAAGAGGAGGCCGGCUAUGGGGAUGGAUACGACGACUGGGAAACGGAUGAAGAUGAGGAAUCGUUGGGCGAUGAAGAGGAAGAAGAGGAGGAGGAAGAGGAGGAAGUUCUGGAAAGUUGCAUGGUGGGGGUGGCUAGAGACUCUGUGAAGAGGAAGGGAGACCUCUCCCUGCGGCCAGAGGAUGGCGUUUGGGCGCUGCGCCUCUCCUCCUCCGGCAUCUGGGCGAACACCAGCCCCGAGGCCGAGCUUUUCCCAGCACUGCGGCCCCGGAGAGUGGGCAUCGCCCUGGAUUAUGAAGGGGGCACCGUGACUUUCACCAACGCAGAGUCACAGGAACUCAUCUACACCUUCACUGCCACCUUUACCCGGCGCCUGGUCCCCUUCCUGUGGCUCAAGUGGCCAGGAACGCGCCUCCUGCUGAGACCCUGAGCCCUGACAUCUGCCCCCGGCCCCACACCCUCAGAUGCUUCACUUGUUUGGAAUUCCAGGACUCUCAAUGGGGGAAGAGAUGCCUGGCCUAAGUACCUGGAGCAGGGGACCCCAUAUCCACUGGCAGCCACCUCCCCAUCACUGUGGCCCCCUGAAAUCUCACUCAGUGCUAUUGCUCCAUCUACUGCCCUAAUGGGGCUCUUCUCCCACCUCCUGCUGGUUUCCUGAGGGAACUUCUGACCCUGGAGUCCAUGAGGGCUCCUUUCCUUUUUGACCACGACCUUGGCCCCAGCUCUGCACUCUCUAUGGAGUAAGGGCCUGACGCAGCAUUUUCUUGCCCAGUGUGGCAAGACCUCGGAAAAACCAGUCGAUUACGCCUAAGAUCAUUUUGCUGUCCUUAAACCCCCCAGGUUCCUUCUUGCACAAAUCCACUCUGCUGCCCACCUUCCCUGGCAUUUUAAACAGAUCUACCCCACCCCAACUCAGAGUUAAGCAUAUACACGGCAAUACUGAAAAUAAACAAUGAAAAUCCACUGAGGCUUCCCAGGCCAUUUAAGGCCUGGAGUACCAGCGCAUAUCAUCUCAUGGGGUCCAGAGUGGAGUCCAGGCUUCUCUGAAACCAGGGCUGAGCAUAUUUCCAUAGCCAAGGAGGUGGGACUCCCUGGAGCUAUCUGUGGUCUUAGGGAAGGAUCCAGACAUACACGGCUUUGGGAUACAAGCUGUGAUCACUGAUCAAUAAAUUAUAUCUGGAUUGGUCCUUGUGAGGGGAGUUUUAAGAAUCCAGAACAUCUUGCUCUUGAUCAGCACAUCCAAAAACACCAAGACAAAUAUCCAGUGGAGCAGAACCUCUCCUGCCUCGGGAGUUCUGACCAGGUUCCCCGGCAGGGUGUUAAGCCUCUGUCUCUGGCCCUACCAGCAUCCAGGUUCCACUUUCCUAGGAGAGAGUGGAGAUGGGAAGACAGGGAAAGGAAGGCAGCAGGAGGCCACAAGCCCACCAGGUCUUCAUGUCAAGAGAGGGAGUAACAUGUCUCCUCACUGCCCACAGACCCAGCCUCUGUCCAGGCGCCCCUUAUGGUUACAGUUUAACACAAGCUCUCCUGCUCCAGCCAAAUUGAUCUGCCAGUCUUGUCCUUACCCAUUCCAAGUGCUCUGCCAGCCCCUGUUCAUCCAAGUUUUAAGUCCUCCACCCUGUUCUAAGAGACUGUUCCAAUGGCUCUGGGCCUCAGUGGUCUCUUGACCACCAUUGUCUCAGAGCUGCCCACUUUGUGUGUGUCACAUGCUGCCUGAGUCACAUGUACAUCUUAUUUCUGCCUCUAGUUUUGUAAGCUCCUGGAGGGCGGAUAACAUACUACUCUUGUAUUCUCAUGGCACCUAGUGCAGUGCUGGGCACAGAGUAGGUGCUCAAUAAAGACUUGUUGAAUGAA